rnacentral:rRNA from 1 species
UACAGAGGAGCCAAGCGUUGUCCGGAUUGACUGGGCGUAAAGCGCACGCAGGCGGUCGUGCGCGUGGGGUGUGAAAUCUGGCCGCUUAACGGCCAGGCGCCAUCCCAUACGGCACGACUGGAGGGCUGCAGAGGUCGAUGGAAUUGCCGGUGUAGUGGUGAAAUGCGUAGAGAUCGGCAGGAACACCCAGGGGGAAACCAGUCGACUGGGCAGCACCUGACGCUGAGGUGCGAGAGCGCGGGGAGCGAACCGG